UACGUAGGGUGCUAGCGUUGUUCGGAAUUAUUGGGCGUAAAGCGCGUGUAGGUGGUUAGGUAAGUCAGAUGUGAAAUCCCUGGGCUCAACCGAGGAAGUGCAUUUGAAACUACCUAGCUAGAGGACAGUAGAGGAAGGUGGAAUUCCUAGUGUAGAGGUGAAAUUCGUAGAUAUUAGGAGGAAUACCGGUGGCGAAGGCGGCCUUCUGGCCUGCUCCUGACACUGAGACGCGAAAGCGUGGGUAGCAAACAGG
rnacentral:rRNA from 1 species